GAAUCUUCUACAGAAAUUUAAGAUGUGGUACUUGGUUGUCACCUUACUUUUGGGAUCCACUGUUACCGUCCUUGGACAACGACAACAAACAUCAUGUUAUUUGAUUUUGUGUUCUCCUGAUGAGCGCUGUGUGGAUGGUUUAUGUCAGCCAAUAACUGGU